GGUAACCUGCCUGUAAGACUGGGAUAACUCCGGGAAACCGGGGCUAAUACCGGAUGGUUGUUUGAACCGCAUGGUUCAGACAUAAAAGGUGGCUUCGGCUACCACUUACAGAUGGACCCGCGGCGCAUUAGCUAGUUGGUGAGGUAACGGCUCACCAAGGCGACGAUGCGUAGCCGACCUGAGAGGGUGAUCGGCCACACUGGGACUGAGACACGGCCCAGACUCCUACGGGAGGCAGCAGUAGGGAAUCUUCCGCAAUGGACGAAAGUCUGACGGAGCAACGCCGCGUGAGUGAUGAAGGUUUUCGGAUCGUAAAGCUCUGUUGUUAGGGAAGAACAAGUGCCGUUCAAAUAGGGCGGCACCUUGACGGUACCUAACCAGAAAGCCACGGCUAACUACGUGCCAGCAGCCGCGGUAAUACGUAGGUGGCAAGCGUUGUCCGGAAUUAUUGGGCGUAAAGGGCUCGCAGGCGGUUUCUUAAGUCUGAUGUGAAAGCCCCCGGCUCAACCGGGGAGGGUCAUUGGAAACUGGGGAACUUGAGUGCAGAAGAGGAGAGUGGAAUUCCACGUGUAGCGGUGAAAUGCGUAGAGAUGUGGAGGAACACCAGUGGCGAAGGCGACUCUCUGGUCUGUAACUGACGCUGAGGAGCGAAAGCGUGGGGAGCGAACAGGAUUAGAUACCCUGGUAGUCCACGCCGUA
rnacentral:rRNA from 1 species